rnacentral:rRNA from 1 species
GAGUUUGAUCCUGGCUCAGAACGAACGCUGGCGGCAGGCCUAACACAUGCAAGUCGAGCGAGACCUUCGGGUCUAGCGGCGGACGGGUUAGUAACGCGUGGGAACGUGCCCUUCUCUGCGGAAUAGCCACUGGAAACGGUGAGUAAUACCGCAUACGCCCUUCGGGGGAAAGAUUUAUCGGAGAAGGAUCGGCCCGCGUUAGAUUAGAUAGUUGGUGGGGUAAUGGCCUACCAAGUCUACGAUCUAUAGCUGGUUUUAGAGGAUGAUCAGCAACACUGGGACUGAGACACGGCCCAGACUCCUACGGGAGGCAGCAGUGGGGAAUCUUAGACAAUGGGCGCAAGCCUGAUCUAGCCAUGCCGCGUGUGUGAUGAAGGUCUUAGGAUCGUAAAGCACUUUCGCCAGGGAUGAUAAUGACAGUACCUGGUAAAGAAACCCCGGCUAACUCCGUGCCAGCAGCCGCGGUAAUACGGAGGGGGUUAGCGUUGUUCGGAAUUACUGGGCGUAAAGCGUACGUAGGCGGAUCAGAAAGUUGGGGGUGAAAUCCCGGGGCUCAACCCCGGAACUGCCUCCAAAACUCCUGGUCUUGAGUUCGAGAGAGGUGAGUGGAAUUCCAAGUGUAGAGGUGAAAUUCGUAGAUAUUUGGGGGAACACCAGUGGCGAAGGCGGCUCACUGGCUCGAUACUGACGCUGAGGUACGAAAGUGUGGGGAGCAAACAGGAUUAGAUACCCUGGUAGUCCACACCGUAAACGAUGAAUGCCAGUCGUCGGGCAGUAUACUGUUCGGUGACACACCUAACGGAUUAAGCAUUCCGCCUGGGGAGUACGGUCGCAAGAUUAAAACUCAAAGGAAU